AGGCAACCCCUGAGUGGAUUGGGGGUGUGAAGCAAAUGAGGAAAAAUACUCCCCAAUUCCGGCAAAGGAGUGCAGGGAUAGAUUGGAGCACUUCCUGAGGAAGGAUCAACACUUUCCCACAAGUCUAGCUGCGAGGUCACGUCAUUCAUCAUCCUCUACACUGGGGGGUCUCCGGCAGACACACAUCUGCAGAGGAGAGGAGGAGUGCUGGAAGGAGAUAGACACCUGGGGACUCUGGUCACUCAGGAUACUCUACUUGGCAGUUGAAUGAGAGACUGUAUCUUUAGAAAGAAAAUCUGGGUUGGAGACAUGGCUCAGUGGAUAACGGCAAUUAAUGCCAAGCUUGGUGACCUGUAGGACCAACAUGGUGGAAGCAGAGAACCGACUCCCGAAGUUGUCUUCUGUACUUGCAUACACACUGUAGUGCAUGUACACAGAAAAUGUAAUAAUUUCUUAAAUAAACACAGUGGGCAGCUUCUCAGGCGUGACA